CGAAAGAAAAGUACACAGAACUAUGGAAAUGAAAAGGUGUGGUAUAUUUCGACCCUAGAAACAAGUCUACGAGUUUUUUUCGCUUAGAAAUUGGGAUUUUUAAAGAUUGUUACCUGCUAUAUAGGCUGUCAAAAAGAUAGUGUACCAAACUACAUCGGCAUAUGCCCUAAGCUGCAUGCCUCUCGAAGAAGUUACAGCCCUCGUAAAGGUCAGAAUCCACCAGCAUUUGUAGCAUUGUCUUUUGUGACCCAGCUGAAAGCAAGUAACUGAGAACAAUAAAUCUUAGAUAUCUUAGACAUCAUGUAUGAAACUUAUAAGGAAUCUAUAUCAAUGGAAUCUUUGCUUGACUGAUUAUUGAAUAUUAAACCUACUUUUCCUAAAAUAUUUUAUACUCUUGUAAGAAAAAGAAA